rnacentral:other from 20 species
ACUGAAAUAGUUUAGUGUUUAUUCGUGUUCUUUAAUGCUAUUAAAUCCAUCUAUUUCAAAUUUAAGUAUGAUGUUGUGUUUGCAUAUUGGUCUAGGCAACUAGACUAGAGUAACAGUUAAGUUACUCAUUUCACUUCCUGUAUAUUUAAACCUUUUGGUUUAUUAACCGCCUAAUUUAGGCGGUUUUUUUACUU